GAUGGGGGAGGCUGCAGCAUGAGGAUGUUGCCCCUAACUCCAACAUAUGUAUCGUUAAGCCCCAUGAGAAAUUGAUGCAACUUGUUUUCAUCAUCCUCAUUUUGAAGCUCGAGUCUGGCAGCACAUGUACAAGUGCUACCACGGGAUACACGCAUAAAACCCAACUCAUCCCACAAUCUCUUCAGCUUGUUGAAGUAAGAUGCUAUAUCUAAAGAUCCUCGACUAGUGCUAACUCUUUCUUAAUCUCAAAUAUUUUGGUACCAUUCACAGUCCCAUACCUACUAUUAAGCUGAGUCCAAAUACUUUGAGCAGUGUCAGAAUACUGAAUACUCUCAGCUAUCUCUGGCGUAAGAGAAUUAGUGAGCCAAGAGAUAACCAUAUAAUUACACCUAUCCCGCUGCCUAGAAUGAGGGGAAUUUUCCAGAGGUUUGGGAACUGUUCCAUCAACAAAACCUAUCUUAU
rnacentral:lncRNA from 1 species